CAUCAGAAUCCACUACUGUAGAGCCUGGCAAGCUGGAUGUGGGAGCCACGGAGGGCCAAGACCUGCAGCACAUCAGCAACCAAAAGAUGCCCACAGGCCCCAGUGUGUAUCAUUCCCUGUCUAACACCGUACGUAUUCUAAGACCACUCCUUUGCUGAUGACAAAUCUAAGUGAUGGUUCGCAGGGGACUCUCUUCCCUGCUUCUGUCUGGAGAGCCUGCCUGGCUUCAGGUUCCUGAUAGGAGUGAGGACCUGGAGUGCAGUGUGAGAAACAGAUGGCUCAGUGAAGAACUGUCAUCAUCCACUAGAGUCCCUGGAAACAGCCGUGUCAUUUAGAUGAUGUGGGUUUGUGUGCAUGAGGGUUGGGAGAUAGCCAGGGGUGAAUUAAUGUGUAGUGUUUGUAAAUGUGUGUUUUCCCCCAAAAAUGUGGACCCGCAUGCCC
rnacentral:lncRNA from 1 species